ACACAUGCAAGUCGAGGGGCAGCAUGGACCCAGCUUUGCUGGGUUUGAUGGCGACCGGCGCACGGGUGAGUAACGCGUAUCCAACCUGCCCUUUACUCCGGGAUAGUCUCCUGAAAGGGAGUUUAAUACCGGAUGUGUUUGUCUUUCCGCAUGGGAGCGACAAAUAAAGAUUGAUUGGUAAAGGAUGGGGAUGCGUCCCAUUAGCUUGUUGGCGGGGUAACGGCCCACCAAGGCGACGAUGGGUAGGGGUUCUGAGAGGAAGGUCCCCCACAUUGGAACUGAGACACGGUCCAAACUCCUACGGGAGGCAGCAGUGAGGAAUAUUGGUCAAUGGGCGGGAGCCUGAACCAGCCAAGUAGCGUGAAGGAUGACGGCCCUACGGGUUGUAAACUUCUUUUAUAAGGGAAUAAAGUUCGCCACGCGUGGUGUUUUGUAUGUACCUUAUGAAUAAGCAUCGGCUAAUUCCGUGCCAGCAGCCGCGGUAAUACGGAAGAUGCGAGCGUUAUCCGGAUUUAUUGGGUUUAAAGGGAGCGUAGGCGGGCUUUUAAGUCAGCGGUCAAAUGCCACGGCUCAACCGUGGCCAGCCGUUGAAACUGCAAGCCUUGAGUCUGCACAGGGCACAUGGAAUUCGUGGUGUAGCGGUGAAAUGCUUAGAUAUCACGAAGAACUCCGAUCGCGAAGGCAUUGUGCCGGGGCAGCACUGACGCUGAGGCUCGAAAGUGCGGGUAUCAAACAGGAUUAGAUACCCUGGUAGUCCGCACGGUAAACGAUGAAUG
rnacentral:rRNA from 1 species